CAGAGUAUCAUCCUAAGCUAAACUACACAGUUUACCGGCCAAGAUGUGACGGUGGGAAAUCUGGAACAUGUAUUUACCCUCUGCUGUGUAAUUGUCCUAAGCCAAAAUAUAAUGGAUACAUCCGCUUAGCCGAAGGCGAGUAUCGUUGGUUCUACAAUAACGUAACAAGGACGUGCGAGGAAACCAAAGGAGACCCUGCCGGCUGCAACAACUUUGACAGCAAAGAAAAGUGUCACAUGCAUUGUUCGAAAUUUGGGACACCGUGGAGAACAAGAACUAAUAAACAAGCGUAAAUUGA